CCUACGGGGGGCUGCAGUAGGGAAUAUUGGACAAUGGGGGCAACCCUGAUCCAGCCAUUCCGCGUGCAGGAAUAAGGCCCUAUGGGUCGUAAACUGCUUUUGUAUGGGAAAAAAUCAUCUUACGUGUAGGAUGUUGAUGGUACCAUGAGAAUAAGGAUCGGCUAACUUCGUGCCAGCAGCCGCGGUAAUACGAAGGAUCCAAGCGUUGUCCGGAUUUACUGGGUUUAAAGGGUGCGUAGGCGGGGAAUUAAGUCAGUGGUGAAAGCUGGUAGCUC
rnacentral:rRNA from 1 species